UACGUAGGGUGCAAGCGUUGUCCGGAAUUAUUGGGCGUAAAGAGCUCGUAGGCGGUUUGUUGCGUCGGCUGUGAAAUCCCGAGGCUCAACCUCGGGUCUGCAGUCGAUACGAGCAAACUAGAGUGUUGCAGGGGAGACUGGGAAUUCCUGGUGUAGCGGUGAAAUGCGCAGAUAUCAGGAGGAACACCGGUGGCGAAGGCGGGUCUCUGGGCAACAACUGACGCUGGAGACGCGAAAAGCGUGGGGGAGCGAACAGG
rnacentral:rRNA from 1 species